rnacentral:rRNA from 1 species
GAUGAACGCUGGCGGCGUGCCUAACACAUGCAAGUCGAACGAAGCACUCUAUCACGAUCCCUUCGGGGUGACGAUUUUGUGACUGAGUGGCGGACGGGUGAGUAACGCGUGGGAAACCUGCCCUAUACCGGGGGAUAACAGUUGGAAACGACUGCUAAUACCGCAUAAGCGCACGAGAUGGCAUCAUCUAGUGUGAAAAACUCCGGUGGUAUAGGAUGGUCCCGCGUCUGAUUAGCUAGUUGGUGAGGUAACGGCCCACCAAGGCGACGAUCAGUAGCCGACCUGAGAGGGUGACCGGCCACAUUGGGACUGAGACACGGCCCAUACUCCUACGGGAGGCAGCAGUGGGGAAUAUUGCACAAUGGGCGAAAGCCUGAUGCAGCGACGCCGCGUGAGCGAUGAAGUAUUUCGGUAUGUAAAGCUAUAUCAGCAGGGAAGAUAAUGACGGUACCUGACUAAGAAGCUCCGGCUAAAUACGUGCCAGCAGCCGCGGUAAUACGUAUGGAGCAAGCGUUAUCCGGAUUUACUGGGUGUAAAGGGAGUGUAGGCGGUUUUAUAAGUCUGAUGUGAAAGCCCGCGGCUCAACCGCGGUACUGCAUUGGAAACUGUAGAACUAGAGUGUCGGAGAGGUAAGUGGAAUUCCUAGUGUAGCGGUGAAAUGCGUAGAUAUUAGGAGGAACACCAUUGGCGAAGUUGGCUUAUUGGACGAUUAAUUACGUUGAGGUUUGAAAGCGUGGUGAGCAAACAAGAUAAGCUAUCUUGCUUGUCUCCCGAUUUAUCCAAUCUUCUGGGAGGGGCACCGCGGCGCGACGGGGGCCCGCGCGCCGCCGACCGGCGGCGGUCGCGGUGGGGGGGCCGACGUGCUACCCGG